GCCGUGCUCUCGGCUCUUUUCUGAAGUGGUGUAGGAGCUGGCGGUUCUGUGCCUCUGCUGAGAGCCGAGAAAAGUACUCGCGCAAGCUUGGAGGCCAAGCUAUGUUUUUGAGGACAAGUUUUCUCCGUGUUGCUUUGGCUGUCCUGACAUUAGCUCUUGAGAUUCAGUUCAUCUUGAUCUGUCUGAUUCCUCCUCUCAUGUUCUGGGAUUAAAGGAUGCAGUGACCUAUGAUGAUGUGCACAUAAACUUCACUCAGGAAGAAUGGGUCUUGUUGGAUCUUUCUCAAAAGAGGCUCUACAAAGAUGUUAUCCUGGAGACCUACAGGAACCUCACUGCUAUAGGAUACAAAUGGGAAGAAUACAAUAUUGAAGAAUAUUGUCAAAAUUCUAGAAUACAUGGAAGGCAAGAAAGAAGUCAUCCUGAAGAUAAACUCUAUGAAUAUAGACAAUGUGGUAAAGUUUUUGCAUGUCACAGUCAUCUUCAAAGUCAUGAAAGAAUUCGUGCUGGAGAGGAAUCCUGUGAAUGUAAUCAAUGUAAUAAUCACAGUACUCUUCAAAAUCCUGAAAAAAAUCAUACUGAAGAGAGACUAUAUGAAUGUAAUGAAUGUGGUAAAGCUUUUUCACAACAGAGUCAUCUCCAAAUACAUACAAGGACACAUCAUGGACAGAAACUCUAUGAAUGUAAGCAAUGUUGUAAAGCCUUUGCCUGUUGCAGCAGUCUUCAAAAACAUGAAAAAGAUCAUACUAGAGAUACAACCUAUGAGUCUAAGCAAAGUGGUAUAGACUUUUCACAUCAGAGUUAUCUCUAUAAGCAUAAAAGAACAUAUAUUGUACAGAAACACUACAAAUGCACUCAAUGUGAUAAAGUGUUUUCAAAACGUAGUAAUUUCCAAAGACAUAAAAGACUACAUACAGGAGAGAAACCCUAUGAAUGUAACCAAUGUGGUAAAGGCUUUGCACUGCCCAGAUAUCUCAGAAAACAUAGAAGAACACAUAUUGGAGAGAAACCCUAUGAAUCUAAUCAGUGUGGUAAAACCUUUGCACAUAACAAUAAUCUUCAGCAUCAUGAAAGAAUUCAUACUGAAGAGAAACCCUAUGAACAUAGUCAAUGUAGAAAACCCUUUUCAUAUCACAGUAGUCUUCAGAUUCAUACUUCAGAGAAACACUAAUGUAGUUAACGUGGUAAAGCCUUUGCAUGUCAUAGUAGUCUUUACAUUCUUGAAAGAAUUCAUAUUGGAGAGAAACACUAUGAUAUAAUCAAUGUGGUAAAGCAUUGCAUAUCACAAUUAUCUGCAAAUAUACAAAAGAACACACUGAAGGAAAAUGAUACAAAUGUAAUCAAUGUAGUAUAAAGCCUUUCAACAUCACAGUUAUCUUCAAAUACAAAGGAACACAUACUGGAGAGUAACGUUAUGAAUGUACUCAGCCUGUUAAAGCCUUUGCAUAUCACAGUUGUCUUUGAGGACAUGAAAGUACUCAGGAAAUGAACCUAUGAAUAUAAAGUGUUUUUUUUCCCAUAGGUUUACUGUUUAUUCAGGGUUAAAUGUUACAGAGUUCAUACACUGUCGGAACCAUGCCUGAGAACCCAAAGAAAGAAAUGGUGCAAUGGACAGCCUCAUCCACCCAGUGUAUUAAAACUUGAUUCAUAUGCAUUUUGAUAAUUUCACAAUCUUGAAAACUAUAACAAGACUUGGGAUUUACAUCUGCUGCAGGUCUUCAGCAUUCAGUACAGUAUGCUAUUAAAAUAACCUCAUCAUGUCUCCGUUCACUUCCU
rnacentral:lncRNA from 1 species